rnacentral:rRNA from 1 species
AUUGAACGCUGGCGGCAGGCCUAACACAUGCAAGUCGAGCGAGCGGCGGACGGGUGAGUAAUGUAUGGGGAUCUGCGCGAGAGAGGGGUAUAUCUACUGGACAGGGGGUCAAAUCCCGUAUACUAUCGGAUGACCCCAUAUGGGUUUCGCUAGUAGGUGGGGUAAAGGCUCACCUAGGCGACGAUCUCUAGCUGGUCUGAGAGGAUGAUCAGCCACACUGGGACUGAGACACGGCCCAGACUCCUACGGGAGGCAGCAGUGGGGAAUAUUGCACAAUGGGCGCAAGCCUGAUGCAGCCAUGCCGCGUGUAUGAUGAAGGCCUUAGGGUUGUAAAGUAGUUUCAGCGGGGAGGCGUUACCCGCAGAAGAAGCACCGGCUAACUCCGUGCCAGCAGCCGCGGUAAUAC